AGGCCGCUGCUAUCCGGCUGGGACUAAGCCAUGCGAGUCAAGGGGCUUGUAUCCCUUCGGGGAUGCAGGCACCGGCGGACGGCUCAGUAACACGUGGACAACCUGCCCUCGGGUGGGGGAUAACCCCGGGAAACUGGGGCUAAUCCCCCAUAGGUGAUGGGUGCUGGAAUGCCCCAUCACCGAAAGCGCAGCGCCCGAGGAUGGGUCUGCGGCGGAUUAGGUAGUUGGCGGGGUAACGGCCCGCCAAGCCGAAGAUCCGUACGGGCCAUGAGAGUGGGAGCCCGGAGAUGGACCCUGAGACACGGGUCCAGGCCCUACGGGGCGCAGCAGGCGCGAAACCUCCGCAAUGCGGGAAACCGCGACGGGGCUAGCCGGAGUGCCGAUGCCUCGCAUCGGCUGUCGGGGAGCCAAAAAAGCUCCCCACAGCAAGGGCCGGGCAAGGCCGGUGGCAGCCGCCGCGGUAAUACCGGCGGCCCGAGUGGCGGCCACUAUUAUUGGGCCUAAAGCGUCCGUAGCCGGUCUGGCAAGUCCCCCGGGAAAUCUGGCGGCUUAACCGUCAGGCUGCCGGGGGAUACUGCCAGACUAGGGACCGGGAGAGGCCGGGGGUAUUCCCGGGGUAGGGGUGAAAUCCUGUAAUCCCGGGAGGACCACCUGUGGCGAAGGCGCCCGGCUGGAACGGGUCCGACGGUGAGGGACGAAGGCCUGGGGAGCGAACCGGAUUAGAUACCCGGGUAGUCCAGGCUGUAAACGAUGCGGGCUAGGUGUCGCGACAGCCACGAGCUGUCGCGGUGCCGGAGGGAAGGAAUUGGCGGGGGAGCACUACAACGGGUGGAGCCUGCGGUUUAAUUGGAUUCAACGCCGGGAAGCUUACCGGGGGAGACAGCGGGAUGAAGGUCGGGCUGAAGACCCUACCAGACUAGCUGAGAGGUGGUGCAUGGCCGCCGUCAGUUCGUACUGUGAAGCAUCCUGUUAAGUCAGGCAACGAGCGAGACCCGCGCCCCCAGUUGCCAGCGGAUCCCUUCGGGGAUGCCGGGCACACUGGGGGGACUGCCGGCGCUAAGCCGGAGGAAGGUGCGGGCAACGGCAGGUCCGUAUGCCCCGAAUCCCCCGGGCUACACGCGCGCUACAAUGGAAUC
rnacentral:rRNA from 1 species